NNNNNNNNNNGGAUUCCCUAGUAACUGCGAGUGAAGCGGGAAAAGCUCAAAUUUAAAAUCUGGUGGUCUUGGGCCAUCCGAGUUGUAAUCUGGAGAAGUGUUUYCCGUGUCGGACCGUGUACAAGUCUCUUGGAACAGAGCGUCAUAAAGGGUGAGAAUCCCGUCCAUGACACGGACUACCGAUGCUUUGUGAUACGCUCUCAAAGAGUCGAGUUGUUUGGGAAUGCAGCUCAAAAUGGGUGGUAAAUUCCAUCUAAAGCUAAAUAUUGGCGAGAGACCGAUAGCGAACAAGUACCGUGAGGGAAAGAUGAAAAGCACUUUGGAAAGAGAGUUAAACAGUACGUGAAAUUGUUGAAAGGGAAACGCUUGAAGUCAGUCGCGUUGUUCAGGACUCAGCCUUGUUUUUGCUUGGUGUACUUCCUGUYCAACGGGUCAACAUCGAUUUUGACCGGCGGAUAAAGGUGGGGGGAAUGUGGCACCUUCAGGUGUGUUAUAGCCCUCUAUUGCAUACGUCGGUUGGGAUUGAGGACCGCAGCGCGCCCUCUGGGCCAGGGGUUCGCCCCAUGUAACGCGCUUAGGAUGUUGGCAUAAUGGCUUUAAGCGACCCGUCUUGAAACACGGACCAAGGAGUCUAACAUGCUCGCGAGUGUUAGGGUGGAAAACCCUUGCGCGUAAUGAAAGUGAAAGUUGGGACCUCUGUCAUGGAGGGCACCGACGCCCGGCCCGGAACUGUUGCGAUGGUGCUGCGGUAGAGCGCGUAUGUUGGGACCCGAAAGAUGGUGAACUAUGCCUGAAUAGGGCGAAGCCAGAGGAAACUCUGGUGGAGGCUCGUAGCGAUUCUGACGUGCAAAUCGAUCGUCAAAUUUGGGUAUAGGGGCGAAAGACUAAUCGAACCNNNNNNNNNNNNNNNNNNNNN
rnacentral:rRNA from 1 species